AGAGUUUGAUCCUGGCUCAGGAUGAACGCUGGUGGCGUGCCUAACACAUGCAAGUCGAGCGUGAUUGUUAUGAGUGGCGACUUCGGUCAAAGCGAGUAACAUGAAAGCGGCGGACGGGUGAGUAACGCGUGGGCAACCUGCCCCAUACACGAGGAUAGCCACUGGAAACGGUGAUUAAUACUCGAUAAGACCACACUUCCACAUGGGAGAGCGGCCAAAGAUUUAUCGGUAUGGGAUGGGCCCGCGUCUGAUUAGCUAGUUGGUGAGGUAACGGCUCACCAAGGCGACGAUCGGUAGCUGGUCUGAGAGGACGAUCAGCCACACCGGAACUGAGACACGGUCCGGACUCCUACGGGAGGCAGCAGUGGGGAAUAUUGGACAAUGGGCGCAAGCCUGAUCCAGCAAUUCCGCGUGGGUGAAGAAGGCCUUCGGGUUGUAAAGCCCUUUAAGUUGGGACAAAAAAAUCGGCGAUAACAUCGCCGGUCUUGAUGGUACCGACAGAAUAAGCACCGGCUAACUCUGUGCCAGCAGCCGCGGUAAUACAGAGGGUGCAAGCGUUAAUCGGAUUUACUGGGCGUAAAGCGUGCGCAGGAGGCUCGCUGAGUCGGAUGUGAAAUCCCUGGGCUCAACCCGGGAAUGGCAUUCGAUACUGGCGGGCUCGAGUUCGGUAGAGGGCGGCGGAAUUCCCGGUGUAGCGGUGAAAUGCGUAGAUAUCGGGAGGAACAUCGAUGGCGAAGGCAACCGCCUGGGCCUGAACUGACUCUGAGGCACGAAAGCGUGGGUAGCAAACAGGAUUAGAUACCCUGGUAGUCC
rnacentral:rRNA from 1 species